rnacentral:rRNA from 1 species
ACUCCUACGGGAGGCAGCAGUGGGGAAUAUUGCACAAUGGGGGAAACCCUGAUGCAGCCAUGCCGCGUGUGUGAAGAAGGCCUUCGGGUUGUAAAGCACUUUCAGUAGNGAGGAAAGNUNAUGUGUUAAUAGCNCAAUUNUGUGACGUUACCUACAGAAGAAGCACCGGCUAACUCC